GCCGUAGCUCAGCUGGUAGAGCAACUGAUUUGUAAUCAGUCGGUCGGGGGUUCGAGUCCCUUCGGU
rnacentral:tRNA from 1 species